UCUCUGCAGUUUAGAUAGUAACACCGACCUCCUCUGUUCUAGCUUAUCAUCACCACCACUGAUUUUCAGAACCUCGCAGAGAUUCAACCGAGUUUGACAAGCGAAGUCUAUGGUAGGAAAUUGAUCUACUGCAUCAAGAGGAUUAAAUUGCUAUCUAAAAGGAAGCGAGGAAAAAGAACCUGAUCGGAGCAAGUCCGAUGAACCAAUUUCAGUGUCGGCUUUUGACAGCUAUGCACAAUAAUAACAUAUUUGCAAGAAUGAUUUAAACAAUAAUAUUUGAGCAUGAGGAUGAAUACAACUUACCUACGGCGAGGAGGUGUUCGCCGGUUUAUUGUUGAGGAUCCUUUGAUGAAGAUGAAGCCACCUCUAUUUGGAUUGUGGGAG